rnacentral:rRNA from 1 species
UAGGGAAUCUUCCACAAUGGGCGAAAGCCUGAUGGAGCAACGCCGCGUGUGUGAUGAAGGCUUUAGGGUCGUAAAGCACUGUUGUAUGGGAAGAAAUGCUAGAAUAGGGAAUGAUUCUAGUUCGACGGUACCAUACCAGAAAGGGACGGCUAAAUACGUGCCAGCAGCCGCGGUAAUACGUAUGUCCCGAGCGUUAUCCGGAUUUAUUGGGCGUAAAGCGAGCGCAGACGGUUGAUUAAGUCUGAUGUGAAAGCCCGGAGCUCAACUCCGGAAUGGCAUUGGAAACUGGUUAACUUGAGUGUUGUAGAGGUAAGUGGAACUCCAUGUGUAGCGGUGGAAUGCGUAGAUAUAUGGAAGAACACCAGUGGCGAAGGCGGCUUACUGGACAACAACUGACGUUGAGGCUCGAAAGUGUGGGUAGCAAACAGGAUUAGAUACCCUGGUAGUCCACACUGUAAACGAUGAAUACUAGGUGUUAGGAGGUUUCCGCCUCUUANUGNCGAAGCUAACGCAUUAAGUAUUCCGCCUGGGGAGUACNACCGCAAGGNUG